AUUGAACGCUGGCGGCAGGCCUAACACAUGCAAGUCGGGCGGAGCGGCGGCCGGGUGAGUAAUGUAUGGGGAUCUGCCUGAUGGAGGGGGAUAACUACUGGAAACGGUCGCUAAUACCGCAUACCAUCCGCUGUACCCAUAUGGGAUUAGCUUGUAGGUGAGGUAACGGCUCACCUAGGCGACGAUCCCUAGCUGGUCGGAGAGGGUGAUCGGCCACACUGGGACUGAGACACGGCCCAGACUCCUACGGGAGGCAGCAGUAGGGAAUCUUCGGCAAUGGACGAAAGUCUGACCGAGCAACGCCGCGUGUGUGAAGAAGGUCUUCGGAUUGUAAAGCACUUUAAGUUGGGAGGCGUUACCAACAGAAUAAGCACCGGCUAACUUCGUGCCAGCCGCCGCGGUAAUAC
rnacentral:rRNA from 1 species